CUACGGGUUGCAGCAGUGGGGAAUAUUGGACAAUGGGGGAAACCCUGAUCCAGCAAUGCCGCGUGUGUGAAGAAGGCCUGCGGGUUGUAAAGCACUUUCGGUUGGGAGGACUGCUUCUAGCACUAAUAUUGUUGGAAGUUGACGUUACCUUCAGAAGAAGCACCGGCUAACUCCGUGCCAGCAGCCGCGGUAAUAGGGCGGGUGCAAGCGUUAAUCGGAAUUACUGGGCGUAAAGCGCGCGUAGGCGGCUAGAUCAGUCGGGUGUGAAAGCCCCGGGCUUAACCUGGGAACUGCAUCCGAUACUGUCUAGCUUGAGUACAGGAGAGGAGAGUGGAAUUCCACAUGUAGCGGUGAAAUGCGUAGAUAUGUGGAGGAACACCAAUGGCGAAGGCAGCUCUCUGGCCUGAUACUGACGCUGAGGUGCGAAAGCGUGGGGAGCAAACAGGAUUAGAUACCCUUGUAGUC
rnacentral:rRNA from 1 species